rnacentral:rRNA from 1 species
GAUGAACGCUGGCGGCGUGCCUAAUACAUGCAAGUCGAGCGAACGGACGAGAAGCUUGCUUCUCUGAUGUUAGCGGCGGACGGGUGAGUAACACGUGGAUAACCUACCUAUAAGACUGGGAUAACUUCGGGAAACCGUAGCUAAUACCGGAUAAUAUUUUGAACCGCAUGGUUCAAAAGUGAAAGACGGUCUUGCUGUCACUUAUAGAUGGAUCCGCGCUGCAUUAGCUAGUUGGUAAGGUAACGGCUUACCAAGGCAACGAUGCAUAGCCGACCUGAGAGGGUGAUCGGCCACACUGGAACUGAGACACGGUCCAGACUCCUACGGGAGGCAGCCGUAGGGAAUCUUCCGCAAUGGGCGAAAGCCUGACGGAGCAACGCCGCGUGAGUGAUGAAGGUCUUCGGAUCGUAAAACUCUGUUAUUAGGGAAGAACAUAUGUGUAAGUAACUGUGCACAUCUUGACGGUACCUAAUCAGAAAGCCACGGCUAACUACGUG